UCCAGACUCCUACGGGAGGCAGCAGUGGGGAAUAUUGCACAAUGGGGGAAACCCUGAUGCAGCAACGCCGCGUGAGUGAGGAAGUAUUUCGGUAUGUAAAGCUCUAUCAGCAGGGAAUAGAAAAGAAGGUGCCUGAAAAAGAAGCCCCGGCUAACUACGUGCCAGCAGCCGCGGUAAUACGUAGGGGGCAAGCGUUAUCCGGAUUUACUGGGUGUAAAGGGAGCGUAGAUGGAAAGGCAAGUCAGAAGUGAAAGCCCAAGGCUCAACCAUGGGACUGCUCUUGAAACUGUCAAACUAGAGUACGGGAGAGGUAAGAGGAAUUCCUAGUGUAGCGGUGAAAUGCGUAGAUAUUAGGAGGAACACCAGUGGCGAAGGCGUCUUACUGGACCGAAACUGACGUUGAGGCUCGAACGCGUGGGGAGCAAACAGGAUUAGAUACCCCCGUAC
rnacentral:rRNA from 1 species